GGGCGCGUGGCCAAGCAUGGAUAUGGCAACAGCCUCCUAAGCUGUAGAUCGGGGGUCCAAAUCCCCCCGCGCCCGCUA
rnacentral:tRNA from 1 species